UACGUAGGGGCCUAGCGUUGUCCGGAUUUAUUGGGCGUAAAGCGCUCGCAGGUGGCCCGAUGCGUCGUGCGUGAAAGACCCCGGCUCAACUGGGGAGUGUCGUGCGAUACGGUCGGGCUGGAGGCCAGUAGGGGGAGUGCGGAAUUCCGGGUGUAGUGGUGGAAUGCGUAGAGAUCCGGAGGAACACCAGCGGCGAAGGCGGCAUCCGUGGACCUGGUCCUGA
rnacentral:rRNA from 1 species